CCUUCGGGAACUCUGACACAGGUGCUGCAUGGCCGUCGUCAGCUCGUGUCGUGAGAUGUUGGGUUAAGUCCCGUAACGAGCGCAACCCUUGUCCUUAGUUACCAGCACGUGAUGGUGGGCACUCUAAGGAGACUGCCGGUGACAAACCGGAGGAAGGUGGGGAUGACGUCAGGUCAUCAUGGCCCUUACGGCCAGGGCUACACACGUGCUACAAUGGUAGGUACAGAGGGUUGCUACACAGCGAUGUGAUGCUAAUCUCAAAAAGCCUAUCGUAGUCCGGAUUGGAGUCUGCAACUCGACUCCAUGAAGUCGGAAUCGCUAGUAAUCGCGGAUCAGAAUGCCGC
rnacentral:rRNA from 1 species